rnacentral:rRNA from 1 species
AUAAUAAUUUGUCUUAUAAUUGAAGUCUGGAAUGAAUGGUUUAAUGAGAAGAGUUCUUUCCCCUUCUUAAAAAUUGAAUUUCAUAGUUAAGUAAAAAAGCUUAAAUAAAUUUUUAAGACGAUAAGACCCUAUAAAGCUUUACUUAUACUUGGUAAAAUAUAAGUAUAUUUAAAUCACUUAAGUUAGGCUGGGGCGGCAAUUUAAUUAAACAUUUUCAGUUAAAACAUAUUGAAUGAAUUAAAAUAAUGAGGAUUUCCUAAUUCUAAAUCAAGUUACUUUAGGGAUAACAGCACAAUUAAAUCUAAGAGUUCUUAUCGAAGAAAAAGAUUGU